GCUGGGUAUCCAAUCAGUUGGUGGCAAGUCUCUCUGAGAUGACCUCUAAAUUUGCAAUGAUCACAAAACUUCAAUUUGAAACAUUGCUCCCUAGUAUGUCCUCGCAUAUGACAGUAGUCACAAUACAAGUCACCAAAUUUUCUAGUCGGUGCACCUCGUGCUGUGAAUAAGGCUGUGGGAUCCAUACCCUCACCAGAUGAAAAAUGCCCCACUGAUGAUGAUUUUUUAUUUUCAUCUUGUACAAUAAGGGCAUAAGCUUGAUUCACGCUAGAAGGUGUUGUUUUUAUCAUAUUUGACCACGAGCAUUGCUAUAUCCAUCGUUCAAGCCCAUGAGAAAUUGUAAUAGCCUCUGUUUUUGAAGAUUCUCACUAUACUCUUUCGAUUUCGCACAGUCACACGAAGGCAGAGGUACAAUUGAGUCAUAUUCAUCUCAAAGAUCCUUUAACCUAGAAUAGUAGACAGAAACAUGCAAAGUACCCUGCACUAGUGUUGCAAUCUCCUUGUGUAGGUGAUAGACUUGCGAUAAAUUGAUUUUAUUAAAUCGCUCUCUAAGAUCCUCCCAAACAGAACUAGCAGUAGACCGAAUUAAAAUUGCAGUCUUCCACCUAUGGUUGGAGCGUAAUCCUUGAACCAAAUAGGUGGUCUUACUGAUCUACCUGACUUUCGAGUUUGUGAUGGAAGGGGACCAAUAUCAUCAGAAUUAGAUGAUGCAGCAACAUCCUCUGACUGGUCAUGAGUAGUAGAAGGCUCAACAACUAUCACAGUAGUCUGAGAAAUAGAGGUGUCCUGAUCCAUGGAAACAUCUGCAUCGGUAUACUGGUCCAUUAGUGUAAAACAAUGAGGUUGCAAAUCUUGUGGUAUAUUUAAUAACCGGAAAGGGAAAAUGUGUUCAUUGAACAUGACAUCUCGACUCACAAAUAUUUUGUGAGUAAUCAAAUCAAGAAGCUUAUAUCCUUUCUGAUGGGAGCUAUAACCAAGAAAUACAGAUCUAAUGGACCUGGCGCUAAGUUUAUCCUGGUUAAUCAAAUUAGUAGCAUAACAUUCACAACCAACAACUCUGAGAUGAGAUAUGUUUGGUUCAUGCUUAUACAAUAACUCAAAAGGAGACUUGCUAUCUAACAAAAUAUAAGGAAUUCGAUUAAUCACAUACACUGCUGCUUCAACACAUAUGCCCCAAAACUUUGCCGUUAAGUGACUUUGGAAUUUAAUAGCCCUGGCAGUUUCCAUAAUAUGCCUAUGUCUUCUCUCCACAACACCAUUUUGUUGUGGAGUGUAAGGGCAUGAGCACUGAUGAAGAAUUCCAAAAGAACUAAACAAAUCACUGCAAGUUUUGUUGACAAAUUCUGAUCCAUUGUCAGAUCUAAUGACUAUAAUUUUGCAAUCAAAUUGAGUAGACACCAUAGUAACGAAGUUUUUAAGUAGGAAAAUCACAUCAGAUUUCAACCUCAUAAGGAAACCCAAGUCCAUUUAGAGUAAUCAUCUACAAUGGUAAGAAAGAACCGCAUGCCAUCAUAUGUUUCAGUUCUAUAAGGACCCCAAACAUCCAUAUGCACCAAUUGAAACAAAGUAUUUGAUUUACUAGUACUAACAGGAAAAUGCAUCCUCGUUUGCCUAGCAAGUGGACAGACAUCACACGUAUCCAAAUGAAAUGUCGAAUUAUUCUUAAAGCAAGUAAAUCUCCUAAGAACUCUCAUUGGGACGUGCCCUAAUCUUCUAUGCCAAGUCACUGCAUCUACUGAUCCUUGUACUGCCAAAAACUUCCUGAGAAUUGUAUCAUGUUGUCCUUUCCUUCCUUGUAAAAUGUACAGUCCAUCGUCUUCUUUACCAAUCGCCCUCACAUUCCCAGUGAGCAGGUCCUGAAAAACACAGAAUCCGGGGAAAAAAGAGACACAACAAUUCAAAUCUCUUGUUAUCUUUGAAACAGAUAAGAGAUUGAAUUUAAACACCGGCACACAAAGCANNUGUUCACCUCCAUCUAGCUGACAGGUUCCAAUUGAAGACACCUUAGUUGUCUCUCCAGUUGGCAACUGUACCGACCCUGUGUUACCUACUUGUGCACCAUUUAACAACAACUUAUCAUUACCAACCAUGUGGUUAGUGGCCCCCGUAUCAAUAAUCCAAGUGUAAUUAUCCUGACCAUUAUAUGUUACAUUACCUGCAAUGUUCACAUUGGUCCUGGCCAUGCUUGCACGUGCUUCUCCAAAGCUUGACUUACGCAAGAGUUGCUCAAUUUGAGAACACUGAUCGGGGGAAAAAAAUUUAGGAAUAUUAUUACCUUGGAUUAGUUGGCUUUGUUCAGACUGCUUGCCAUGUCCAGAAGAAAGCCGACUUUGAGGAGGUUCUCCUGAAUGUCCAUUCCUUGAUACCACAUUAGCCUUCUUUUUGCCUUUGAAAUCUGCUGGGUAUCCAAUCAGUUGGUAGCAAGUCUCUCUGAGAUGACCUCUGGAUUUGCAAUGAUCACAAAACUUCAAUUUGAAACAUUGCUCCCUAGUAUGUCCUCGCAUAUGACAGAAGUCACAAUACAAGUCACCAAAUUUUCUAGUCGGUGCACCUCGUGCUGUGAAUAAGGCUGUGGGAUCCAUACCCUCACCAGAUGAAAAAUGCCCCGCUGAUGAUGAUUUUUUAUUUUCAUCUUGUACAAUAAGGGCAUAAGCUUGAUUCACGCUAGAAGGUGUUGUUUUCAUCAAUAUUUGACCACGAGCAUUGCUAUAUCCAUCGUUCAAGCCCAUGAGAAAUUGUAAUAGCCUCUGUUUUUGAAGAUUCUCACUAUACUCUUUCGAUUUCGCACAGUCACACGAAGGCGGAGGUACAAUCGAGUCAUAUUCAUACCAAAGAUCCUUUAACCUAGAAUAGUAGACAUAAACAGGCAAAGUACCCUGCACUAGUGUUGCAAUCUCCUUGUGUAG
rnacentral:lncRNA from 1 species